rnacentral:rRNA from 1 species
UACGUAGGGUGCGAGCGUUGUCCGGAAUUAUUGGGCGUAAAGGGCUCGUAGGCGGUUUGUCGCGUCGGGAGUGAAAACCCAGGGCUUAACUCUGGGCUUGCUUUCGAUACGGGCAGACUAGAGGUAUGCAGGGGAGAACGGAAUUCCUGGUGUAGCGGUGAAAUGCGCAGAUAUCAGGAGGAACACCAGUGGCGAAGGCGGUUGCCUGGGGCUUUGCUGACGCUGAUGCGCGAAAGCGUGGGGAGCGAUCCGG